UUUAAAAGUCGCCGCCAGAAUUUUGGCGCCAGAUGGUUGACAUUGAUAUUUACUGGAGCCAAUUGGCCUGCCCCAGAAAGAUAAGAAUUCAAGGCCGACAUGCAUGCCUACCACUGCCUGUUCAAGAUCCUGCCCCUGGUUGACAAAUGUGGUGUCAGAAAGCAGGCCCAAGGUGAGCUCACCUUGGACAGACCAGCGGUCCCUGGAACCUUGCGCAGUACCAGCUGAGCCCGUUGUGCUCCCAUGUCCAUGAAGUUGCCUUUUCUGCCCGGGUGAACCUCCUUGCAGACCCUCCGACUCCCUCU